CAGACGGCGGAGAACUGGGAUGGAGCGCGCCUUGGCCCGCUGGCCGUGGCUGCAGCUCCUCGGGAGAACCGGGGCGCCCACGCGAGAAUCUCCCCACCUGGGCCUCUCUUCAGGGAUGACAUCAUCCGUUCGCCUUGUCUUCAAGGACCACCUCUCCAUGCCAAGCUGUUGCCAAGCUGCUUGCGGCUCGUCUCCACCUCAUGAGGACACUAGGAGCACCGAUUCCUGGAUCCCCCCAGCAUACAAAGCAGCCGCUGGCAGAGACCCCCAGGACCAGGACGACGAGGGAUGAAGAGGACCAGGACUGACAAGCCAGCUGUCCCUCUUGGCUAAAGGCUUGAACCAGUGCCCUAGUGAGGGGGCACUGGCUGCUAACCCCUGAUCUUUGCUACGCUUGUGCUUGGUCUCUGUGAAUACUUUCCCAUAAGUCUCUGCUGUGUUAAUGUGCCGGCGACCUGGAGCGCUUCCCUCAGGGUGGCGUCAGUCUUUCUCCACUGACCCUGCUGUUGCCCUUAUGAUGUCCUGAACGGAAAGAUCCCUUUGGGAACUCCUCAGGAGGGGGACCUAGGCCAGAGGCUCCUCUAGCAUCUCACUGGCGAUUCCAAGGCCCAGGGUGGGCUUGUGGAAUGAGCAUGAGCCCUCAUGUCAUGCUACUGAACUGCCAAAGGCAUGCUCCCCUCUUUCGAGAUCCCCCGUCCUUUCUGGGCAAUGGGGAUGAGAAGUGCAACCUCCUAGGGUUGUUGUGAGUAUUAAAUGAGAGAAGGCAGCCUUGGGCAGGGCUGGGCAUAGAGGAUGCGGUCAGCAAAUGUUUGUUGAAAAAAUUUGGCAGGUCAAUCCAUUCCUACCUCUCUCACUUGUCGUACUUGUUCUCCCACAGCACUCCGGACAGCCCCUGUCCCCCAGGCUCUCCUUGCAUCAGGUAGGGGCUCCACCAGAGGGUCCUGGGCUGACCUGAAGGAAUACGAAUUAUGCAUGCGGUCAUUUCCAGAGCACUUUCUAUGUAGAUGAAUGUUCUUUCUAUGUCAUAGGAGUAUGUGUAUGAGGCGGCCUCAUUUACAGAUGAGAAUGAAUUUGUCAUUGAUUUGAGUAAUUUUCAAAAGGUGGGUGGGGAAGAGGACUCAUGAAAGCUGAGUGCCCCUCCCACGGGAUAGGGGUCACCCACGUUGGCAGUGAGGAUGGACGCCGAGGCUGGAGGGAUGUAAGUAUUUUGUCACACUGCUGGCAAGAGAAGAGGUCAUAGUUGGAUCCUGGGUGCCAUUGUAGCCGCCCUGUACCCCCUAGCCCAGAGUUAUAUUAAAAGCCCUUUGACGUCCAGUCAGACAUUUGACAAAGGGACAGUCUCUUUGAAAUCCCAGCUGCCCAGGGUGGUCUUGGGGUCUGGGUGGCCCCAGAGCUGGUACCCUGUGCUGGCUCCACCUCCCAGUAACAGUGUGACCUUAAACAAGUCGCUUAACUUCUCCGAGUCUCAGUUCCUUUCAUGGUCUAAAUGGGGAUUAAAAAAAAAAAAAAAAAAAAACCUCCGCGUUUAUCUACCCCACAGGGCGCUUUUGAAGACCAAAUGAUGUAACUGCUAUGAAAGUGCUUUGUAAAUUGCUGUGGAAAUUGCGAGAUACUUAUCCCCCGGAGGCUGUCCUCCGUCCUUCACAUGCCCAGCCCUCUUCUCCCGCAGUAGUAACAGCCAGCACCCAGUAGGUGCUGUGUGUGUUUGCACUCCAUAAGUAAAUUCCAGAAGAAAUAAAAACGGAAUUAAUUCAACAAACAUUUUCUGGAACCCUGACAAUAUGCCCAGCACACCAGGCCUGGGAUGUGAUACAAAGAUGAUGAAAACAGUCUCUUGGAAGCUAAUUGGGGUCCUCAUUUGACCAGCACUUUCUUUCGUCCCCUUUUAAGCCAACCAGUUUUGUCCGGACAAGACAAAAACAACUCAGGCCGCCUUGCAGAAGCCCAGCUUGGUGUGGACAAUAGCUCCCAGGCAUCUGAAAGGGCCUGAUUGGAUUAUGUGGCAAAUGAAGGUGGAAGGAUGACUUGGAAGGUGACAAAUGAAGUGGGCGGAGAUCUGCUUUGAGUUAAUCCAGGCUAUUAGGAGGCCACCUUUUGUCUUCCAGAGGCUGGCAGGAGCUUUUACCACUGGUUUUUACAUCCUUAAUGUAAGGACGCAUAAUUUAUGGUCAGUGAAAGUCCAGGCCCCGGUGAGAUUGGAGUGGGCUGUAAAAUUGAGCGUCCCGCUACCAGUGAGUAAUUACGGUGCCCGUUUCUGUCUCCUGUGUAGUAUGCAGAGCCCUUUCUGGCAACCGACAAUUCAUUUGAACCUCACAACUCCCUGUCCCGGCCCGGGGCUGGCCUGCACCUUCUAGGGGAACAGAGCCAUCAAGCGGCCUUUCAGAUUGGGGUCCCACCGUACAUGUGUACCCCCAUCGCCUCUCACCUUGUAAAGGAAGGGGUGCCCUCUGCUCUGGUCCCUCCUAUCUCAGCCCUGGACCUCCCACCAUCGGUUAUCCUCUGAAUUCCUAACUUUGCUCUCUCCACAGCCUCCCAGGUCCCUUCUGUCCUCCUUUCUAGCCACUACCGUUUCUCUCUUUCCUUUCGCAGCCAAGCUUCUCGAAAGGCCUGUCUUCACUUGCUGUCUUCCUUCCUCACCUCCAAUUUCCUCUUCAACCCACUGCCUCCUGACUUGCUCUACUCCAUCGAGCGGCUCUCACUAAGGUAAUAACUUUUCUGGAGCUUCACCUUGGCCACGUGUCUGGCUCUUGGACACAGGGACUCAUUCUUUCUCUUACAUAGCUUUUCGGCUCCGGUUCACUUCUGUUGACACACUCCCUGUAGACCUCACGGGGACACCUGCUCCUGGCUUCCCUCAUUUCUUAGUUUUCCCAGAAACUUGCAUAUCCGGAUCUCCUAAUGUCUGGAAGCUGCCUCUUGCCAUCUCGCCCUGGGUUCGAGCCUUGGCUAGCCCACUUAGUGCUGGGGCCUUGAGGUAGGUCAGUUUUCCCAAGCCACCUUUUUCUCAGUUGUAAAAUAGGGUUAAUCGUCUUUACCUGGCAGGUGAGGUGGGCUAUCUUGCAGGUAAGAACCAGAGACGAUUUGAAAGACUUAAAAUAAAGUCAAUCAGGUAUUCAGGAGAAAAUAUAAUUGGAGUCCCCAUUAGAUUUCCUUACAGGUUGAAACCGUUCCCAUGGGGAGGACCAAAGCGAGAAGAAAGAGGUGGAGAGGGGCGGGGGGGGGGGGGGGGAGUGGGAGAGAAAGAAGAAAAGAAUUUACAGAAAAACCCACUAAAGACAAAAAAGUAGGGGGGAGAGGUUUAGAGAAUAUUAAAAUCUACCAAAAAAGACAUCCAGAGAAAGGUUUUCAGUUUCGGCUGAAAGAAAGUAAACAGGAAAAAGGUUUUAAAUUGAUUAUCCCAGUGACAAAUCCCAGGAAGCUUUCAAAUCAAAUUGCCCCAUUUUGGGUUUUUAACUCCUUCUAUCAAGUUUAACCUCUUUACCUCCUGCAUCCUGGUUAGACCCCCCUGCCCCCCCUUUGCUGGUGAUUAAAUCCCCAAGGUGCACAGGAGUCUUUCAAUGAAUGAAUGGCUGACAGAAAGAGCCCACCCCUCCCCCCAGCUGUGUUUUUCAGUUUUAUUCCACUUUCCGCCCUUUUCCCUUAAUGAACACAGGGCUAAUCUUAGGCCCUGUCAAGGAGGAGGCUGCAGACGUUAAUGAGGUAGCCGCUGGAUUCCAAUAUUCGUCUCAUAAGGAGCCUUCUUUGUCUGCAAAGGAAAAACACACUGAUUAUCAUAAUGAGGUGAACUGGCGUCCACAGGGCAGGGCCACUCGCUUCUUCGCCCACACUUCUAAUUUUGGGGCUGGAGCUGAGGUUUCAUUUGCUCCCCCUUUAAGUCUUUGCCUCCAUCCCUGCGAGCAGUCCAUUGAGCGGGGUUGAAAGUUGAAGGCAGCUUUGGGAAGCGGGCUGCAGAUAGGGCUGCUUUGUGGAAAGUUUCUUUGUUCGACCCUAUACCCAGGGCAAGGGCGAGUCACACCUCUUGGGUUCCUUCUCCGAGGGCUGAGGACUGAGAGCACACAUUUCCCCGUCCGGCACGCACCUGACUUGUUCCAGGACCACUGAACAUUCACACUUACUCAAGAUUACCAAAGGUAGAAUGGUGCCAUGUCAUAGGGGUAGAACCGGUGGAAUUAUCACAAAGUCAACACCCAUGGGAUGCUCCACUUAGGUCAAGAAAUGGAUGGAUGUUGGUGCCCCAGAGGGCCACCCCCUGGAAGGGUGUGCUUUAGGGUCCAUGUUUGGCUCCCGAAUGCUGUUAGAGAGGUUCAGAGUCCAGCAGUGUGUUAGGAUCACUCAGCGAACCAAGUGCCAGAGGGAACAUUACAGCUCAGAUCGGGCAUCAGAACCUGUAGACGCUCCUUUCACGCCCCAACGUCGCCCUCUCCCAUGUGUCCUGCAGCCCGCCUGAAUCCCCCUUCUGUCCUGACCCUUGAGCUCCCCAGAGCCCAUUCUUGUCUCUAGAGCAGGUGUGCCUCAAGUCUGCCCUUAUGUGUCCCGAAUUGUGGACAUUUCUCACCCCAAGGCAGAUCAAUCAAGAUCAGAUCACUCCAAUUAAACUUUAAUUCCAGCUUUAGCCAGACUUUCAGCCAAGUGGAAGAAAACUAAGGGAGAAGCGAGGUGGUUGGAGCCAGAAAAUUUUAUUAGUAGAAAACUUCCUCCCUUAACUUAUCUCUUGGCUAAAGGUUCCCUGGCAUCAUGGGUCAGAAUUAGACAUGUUUUCCAAGUUAGCAAAACCAACUCUUGUCCAACAUCCCCAAAAAAUCUCGAAGGAUGUCUAGGUGGCUGGGUGGGGUGAUUCCACCCCUUUGGGUGGAGGUGACCCAGAGGUCGCCCGGAUUAGGAACCAGGAUGAGGUUGAGCACCUCUGAAAAUGGUGAUCCCACAGAAACCUACCCCACUACCCCACGCAGUCAUUGAAGAGUGAAAGAAGAGCAGUUCUGGGGGUUGCUAAGUGAGGACUUUUAAAUAGGAACAAAAUCACAGGACCCUUCCCACCCUCAAACACCACUGAUAAUUAAAAGAUGAGCCCCAAAGCCAUUAAUAUGCCAGCAUUUGAGAACCUGGGGAGGGGGUGGAAGGCAUGAGUCGGCCAGGAUCUUCAGGGUGUGCUUACUCCCAGGACCCUAACAGCGCCUGCCACAUGGUGAAACUCCCAGCCGGACUCCUGCUUGGGUUUCUGGAAAGCAGGCAGUCGUCUUAAACUUUCCUGAGGCCACCAGCAGAGAAUCUGAGCUGAUUGCCUCCUUGAGUGGGGGGGUUGCCCCUUUUAACUUGCCUUCUUGGUUCUGUGGCACCCCUUUCAUGCCUGGGAUGGACGCGGCUCUCAGCUGCCUGUGGACUCAGGACCCCUGCACCACAUCUCCAGCCCACUGUAGGCUUCCCGUGUUGGUCACCUGACCCCUGGAGCCCACUGGUCUCAAGAUCCGUCAUUAAGUCAGUCCUGGAGGCUCAGGAGAUGUGGGAGGAGGCAGCUUAAGCAGAUGGGAAACCAGAGGAGUGAGGCCAGGAGAUGCCCCCAAUUCUGAGUUUCUGUUUUUCUGCUUUUCCUGCCUCCGUUUCUGUUCUCCAUCUCCCCUUCGUCUCCCCUGCUUCUCCAUCAUGUCCUAACCCCAUCCUCUGGGGGUACCCUAGGCCAGCCCACACCUCCUUGGGGUGUCCCAGUACCAGCUUGGCAAAAAAGUGGGGCUCAGUAAGAGUAUGUGGGAUGUCUGUUUGGACAGGAGUCACCCAUGGCCUGCCCGUAUUGCCGCCCUGUCCCUGUGAGUCCUGGGCUGUGCCCUGCCCCAGGGCUCAUGGGGGCUGCCACCUGGGCCUGUUGCAUCCCUUGCCCAUGGCCCGUCCCCACGAGCCACCUCCCUCCACUGACAACCACACCACAGGUCGGCCCCGUCCUUGGGACAUGGGCUGCAACUUGGUCGGGUUGGCUGAAGAACUGGACGGAAGGGAUGGAAGAACCCCCGGAGGACCCCCACCCUGGACCACGUCCUUCCUGAUGGCCGCCUGGCGCCUCACGCCCACCCUGUGCCCGUCGCCACCUCCUGGUUUGGGCCGAAGCCGUCGUUCGGAAUCCUCCGUGGGAAGGGACCUCGGACGCGUGAUCCCAGCACUGUCCAGCUUUCCAAUCGGCAGACUAGGAUGGAAGUGCCCUUGUGAGCUGGGGGGCCCUUCAAAGGGCCAAGGAAAAGCGCGGGCCGAGGGACCAGCCUCUCAAAUGGGCUUCGAGCUCCAAUGACCUUCGCUCACCCCCUUGAAAUGUCUGGAAAACAGAAUGGGCAGAUUUUCUGUCUUCAAAGUUUCCGGCUAAACCUCUUCAAGUUCUUUAUUGUUUGGGACUGAGACACUCAGCAAUGGUAAUGGGUCGUUUCUUUUGUAUUUGCCUUGAAAGGCCAAAAUAUUUUUAUAUUGCUACAGACAAAGCCGUCUAUUUAAAAAUGAACUCCAUGUCCGUCGUUUCCCACCGGGGAGACCGUGUACAACGUGUGUGUCUCUGUGUACUCAAGGGUCUUGAAACAGGUUUCUCAUGGGAUGGCCACUCACGGGGGUCCAGGGGGGAAGCGCCUGCCCUGCCCUGGGGUCUGGGGAAUCUGGCCCUAAUGGCAGGUCUGCCCUGCUUUGUCUAGGAUGGGAGCCCCGGGAGGGUCUGGCUGCCCGAACAUUUACUCUGCCUGUGCCUGCAUCUGUCACGUGUAUGUGUUUAAAGACUGUGGGUUGUGCACACCUUGGUGGUUAACGCAGUGAGAGGAAGCAGGAGGGUCUAAGCUAUUGUGAAUGUUCUAUUUUUCUUGGCAGGAGGUCAUUUUGCUGGUAUCUGUUGCACGGUUCACAUAGUGAAUGAAUGAAUGAAUGAAUGAAAGCAUGGAGGAAUGGAUAAAUAAAUAGGUAAAGAAGUAAGCAAGCACGGAUGAGAGUGUACACUGAACAGGAGCCAAUUUGGUAUAUAGGAGAUCAACAUAUAAAUCAAUAAAAUAUGGAAUCAGUAUGUAAAUAGGGCCACACAGGAAGCAAUAUCAGAUCAUCAUGGACCAAGGAACGUGUUAUUCAAGUAUAUAGCACUUAAAGUUUGUCAAUAAAAGAAUAAAACCUAAGUAAAAGAAAGAAUAAGAAGUAUGCCUAAACCCAUGGUGACGAUAGUGUACUGUAUACUUAGUCUGCUAAGAGGGCAGAUCUUAUGUUAGCAGAUCUUAUGUUAAGAUCUAUGUUAAGUGAUCCUAUCAUAAAAGAUGGUGAUGAUAAUAAGAGAAGAGAGGGGGAGAAACUUGUGGAGGCGAUGGAUGAGUUUGUGACGUGGAUUGUGGUGACGGUUUCACAGUGUAAACUUACAUUCAGACUCAUCAAGUUGUCUGCAUUAAUUAUGUACAGCUUUUUGUGUGUCAAAAAAGUGAAAAUUAAAAAAAUAAAGAGGAAGUAACUGUGAAAAAUCCACAAACCAAUGGUGAGGAUGAGAUUAAAAGGCACACUGAAAUGAAAAGAUGCCAGAGAGAGGGGACGAGUGACUGAAAGGGGGAGGCAAGAAGCAAAACCAUAAAUAGAAAGAAGAAAGAUGACUCUCUUAAGAUUUCUUUUAAAAAUUUUUCCUUUUUCUCUCAAAGCCCCCCGGUACAUAGUUGUAUAUUUUUUUUAGUUGUGGGUCCUUCUAGUUGUGGCACGUGGGAUGCUGCCCCAGCAUGGCUUGAUGAGUGGUGCCAUGUCCGCGCCCAGGAUUCGAACCGGUGAAACCCUGGGCCGCCGAAACAGAGCGUGUGAACCCAACCACUCAGCCACGGGGCCAGCCCAAAGAUGACUUUUUUAAAAUUAGGAGAUAAGUAAAUAUAUAAGGAAGGCCAUGCUGGAUCAUUACCAGCUAAGCAUUAGGACUGACCCAAACACGUGCUCCUGGCAUAGAAAAAUAAACACAGAAAAAAUUCAAAGGAGGUAAAAACGAAAGAGGACCAGGGGACCAAAGAUGAGAGUUAACUUUAACCAAAAGUUUUCUAACUCUGGGCACACGUUAAUAAAUAAAUACUGAAAUGAAAGAAAGCCAAAAAAAAAAAAAAAAUAAAAGGGAUGGGUGAGCGAGCAGUGGAAAUACCUGGACCUAGAUGGGAGCACGCCAUGAGCUGAAGUCUGUUACGUGAAAGGAUGAAAGAAAGAGAAUAAAAUAUCUAAAUAAAAAUUGAGAAAUAUGGGAGAAACAGUAACAAAGGUUGUCUAGAAAUACAUUCAUGAGUGAAUAAAUAAAUACAUAAAAGGAAGUGACGGUAGCAGUGGUGGUAAAAGACUGUCAUGGGUCAAGGAUAUGGUUAGUCCAAUUCUCAAAAUCACAGAACUAUCAAUAAAUAAUAAGUAUCUAAAUAAACACAUAAUGAGAAUCUAAAGUGACAAAGCCAGGAUGAGUAACGGGGAGGAGCCUGGCCCGCAGGCGCUCCUGAUGAGCAUGCUGGGAGGCUUGUAAUUAAUCCCAUCUGGGCACCGAAGCUCCAGGAGAAUGAAGGAAGCACUGAGAAAGGAGGAGAUGUGGAAAGCUGUAACAAAAGAGAGAAAGGAAUGAUAAAAAGGGGGUGAGGACUGAAUGGAUAGAUGGGUGGUUCUGCGGGGAGGGUGAGGCUAGGACUGCUCGUAAGGGACCCUCACAAACUGGGUCGUAACUGGUCAAAAUCUGAGCACCCAGUUCCAUUAAUAGAGGAGUAGAUACCUAAUUAGAAGAAAGAAAACAGGCAGGAAGAAUAGUAGGAAGGAAGGAAGGAAUGAAUGAGGCAUGGCGCUGCAGGGGCCAGGGGUGGGUGUUGGCAAGUGGCAUUAGGAUUCAUCAGUCCAUGGCCACUGGGCUCCAAAGAAUGAAAGGAUGCAGCAAAGAAAGAGUGAGAGAGUGGGAGAGAAAAACAAUGAGAAUUGGAAAGAAGAAGAAAGGUAAUAUAUUGAGAAACAAACAGAUAAAUACAGUAUAAGAGAGAGCUGUUCUCGGAAUGAGGAGGGGUGGGAGCAUGAACCAGGCACACUGAUUAAUUCACAUCUGUGCCUCUGAGAUGGGUGACCACCCGCCCAACCAGGACACAGUUCAGAGCUGAACUAUGGAAUGGCGGACCUCAGAGGGGCCAGGGAGGGGAGGACCCAUUGACUAUAGAUUAUCAUGUAUCCAAUUAGGUGCACCUGCCUGCCAGCUAGAAGUGUAAAAAUAAUUAUUUAAAUAGAAAGAAAGACUGAAUGGAUGCAUGAAUGCCUGAAUGAAGGAAUGAAUGAGUAAAAAGAGUUGCAUUGACUGACGAGGAGGGUGUUGCAGAUGGGGUCAGGGUUCAUCAGAUCCCGGGUGCCUGACCUCCAAAAGAAUGAAAGCCAGAAAGAAAGAAAGAAAGGUUGAAAGACUGGUAGGAAAAAACAAUUAAGAUGGGGAAAGACUCAAAAUAAAAAAAGAGAAAUAAAAAAGACAAUAAAUAAUAGGUCAGACAAGUGUAUGAGAGGGGACUGGUUUAGCACCGAUAACCCAUAUUCAUUAAAAUCUGUGGCCUUGAAGUUUAUAAAUAAUAAAAACAAUACCAUCAAUAAAAGGCUGAAAGAGUAAAUGCAUGGGUUCCAUGCAAACACAAGAAAAGGAGUUUGAAAUGUUGAAGAAAAGACCGGGAGAAAGAAAGAUGUAGGAAAAGAAAUUAAAAUAGACAUGCAGAAGAAAAGGCCCACACUGGAUAAGUAUUUAAAUAUAAUGAACAAUAUUAUUCAUUACAUGCAAUAAAUAGUAAGAGCUAAGGUUCAUCAGUAAAAAAACCACAUACCUAAAAGAAAGAAUAGAGGAUGGCUGUGUGAAUGAAUGAAUGAGAAACAGUGAUUUUAAUUAAUUCUCUUCUGCACUUGAGGCUUGUAAGAAUAAAAGAAUGCAAAAAAGAGACAGCAAGGAGGGAGGGGACACAGAAAAUGAUGACAAGGUGGACAUAAGCAAUGAAAACAUAUUGAAUGGAUAAAUAAAUACAUGAAUAUACGAGAGAGAGAGAGAGAGAGAGAGCGUGCGUGCUACUAGCAAAAGACGAGAAGGCAUCAUGAGCCAAGAAUUAUGAUGAGCUCAAAACUGGGCUCUUGAGAGAGUUACAUAAAUCCUUAAUCAAUCACCAGUACACGAAAUUAACGAACAAAAGGGGGCCCCGCAUGGACUGGUGUUGAGGAGGCUCCGGCAACCACAGAUUAGGGUUAAUCCAGUUCUGUGCACCUGAGGUCCAUAAAUAAAAGAAUAAAUACUGAAAUAAAAGGGUGACAGAAAGAAUGAAUGGACACAUGAAUGACUGAAUUAGAAAUGGAAAUGCCUGGAACAGCCAGGAGGGGGUGGCUCAUGGGAUUGUCAGUCAUCUCACUCCAGGCACCUGAGGUCCGUGCAUGUGAAGUGCUGCAAGAAAAAAAGCAUCACAGAGUUAGAGAAAGAGAUGAAGAAAGGCAGGCUGAAGCUAAGUGAAAGAGAAAGGGGAAGAAACCCCACCCAAUGAAGAGGUGACCAACCCCGGGCGUGUCUGAGAGCAGGAAUUUAGGGUUGGGAAUGAGGUCGUCGUGAAUUGGAAAGAUGGAUGAGGUCAUCCAGUCCAUGGGCAAGGGCAAAUGGAGAGAAUAAAAAGAAGCAAAAACGGAAAAAGGAAAGAUAACAAACACCCAAAGUGAUGAAUGGGUAGUUAACAGAGGUCUUCUGAACAGCGAUUAUCAUUAGUUGACAUACAUACUCCUGAAAUAGGUGAAUACACCUUUCAAAGAGUAAAUGAAAAACAGAAGAAAUACCCGGCCCGGUAAGACAAGGCUGCAUCUUCCAACACUGUAAUAAAAUAUAUGCAAUUGAGGUCCAUAAAUAAAAGAAUAAAUCCUGAUGUGUAAAAGGUGACUAAACGCAGGGAAGAAAGAUUCUAACUGCAAAUAAAUAACGGGCCAGUGAUGUUUAUUGGGCACGUGGGGUUUUGGCUAAUAUAAUGAUUUCGCAGGAGACUAAAAAGUGAAAGAAUACCCAAAAUAAGAAAGAAAGGACAAAUGAGUGAGUGAAUGAAUGAAUGAGAGAUGGAGCUGCACGGAUGAAGGACGAGGAUGUCGCAUGUGCUAAUCCGGAUUCAUCCUUCUGGGAGCCUGAGAUGUAAGAAUGAGAGAAUGUAAAGAAGAAUGAGAGAAAGGGAGAAAGAUGAAAUCUGGGAAGAAAUAAAAAGAAUACACGAAAGAAUAAAUAGGACUUGUGAAGGGAGAUCUUCAUGAACCAAGGGCUGUGAUUGGUUUAAAGCUGAGCGGAAGUGCGUCAGUAAAGGAGUCAAAUCUAAGCGAAUGAAUGGGUGAGUGACAGGAAGAAAUGGAUGGAUGACUGGAAGGAAGAGAGGGAGAGAAGGAGGAGGGAAGGAGGAAGGAAGAAGGAAGAUAAGAAGGAAGGAAGGAAGGAAGGAAGGAAGGAGGGCUGGAUGAUUGGAAGGAAGAGAGGGAAGCAGGGGUCUUCCUUCCUGUUUUGUGGUCCCUGUGUUCUAGCCAGCUGAAGGAAGUGGGUACCGGAAGGGACGGCUCUUGUCGUCUUGUGUGCUUGUUACACACACAUUACCUGGCAGGGAGAAGCUGGUUUAGGAAGACCCUGGCCUUGGAGCGCCAUUGUCACCUCCUGGCUGUUUGGACCGCAUCACUUGCUCUCUCAUGCUCAGUUUCCCCACCCACAAACCCGGAAUGGCAUCAGCUCCCCGCUUGGACUGGUCAUGGGGCAAGUGGUCUCCUGCCUCUUGGCAGUGCCCUAUCUAUAGCCCUGGACAGGUGGACGAGCUCCGGCCCUGGGCUCUGCAGAAGGUUGCAUGGACAAGGGGUGUUGGGCCAGGUGGGUGUCUUGGCCCCUCCCUGGGCGUGGGUCACCUGCAAGGGAGGCUUUUCCCGCCAGGGGGCAGCAGAGGGCAAGGGAGCAGGAGGCCCUGGGUGGCGGGUGGACCCCGCCCGCUGCGCUAUCCUGGGUGUGGUGCCACUCCCAUCCAGGGGCCUUGCGGGAGGAAGGCCGGCAGGCCAGAAAGUGGCUGGGAGGACCUGAGAAAGAUGACCCAGGAGCCCAGUGACCCAGGCGCCCAGAGGCACAUCACCGGAAACCUUGUUCCUGCAACUUUCUGAAAUGUGCCCGGGCGCCCCCCACCCAGCCGGGUCUUCUACAGGGCGGCCGCCUGCCCUUCACAGCUUGGGGGGCCCGGGGCAGGGGCACCUCAGCCCGGGUUUGCAGAAGUGGUCUCGGGACCCAGCCCCCUUGACAUGGCCUCCCCAGAGCCCGUUUCAAGGCCUCCUGUCUCCUCGCCUGUGUUCCGAUGUACUGUGUAUUUCGGUGGCAGGCGCGUCUGCCCGUGUGUUGAAUUGUCCUCUCUCCUGACCUGCCCUCCCAGGGCUGCGGGCGGGUCUGGGGAGCGUUUGUACUGGCGUUUUGGACCCCACGGACUCCCUGGUUCUUCUGUCCAGUCUCUCUUCUCUGUAGUGGACAGGAUUUGUGCAGUUGUGUGUGGUAUGCCUGUGUUUGUCUGUAAAAACGAGGACCAAAUUUCCACUCAACUUCUGAAUUCCUGUGUGGGACAUUAAAUAAAAAACUGGAUUCUUAGCAAGUGCCCUGAGCAGGAGGAGACAGUUUGGCUGGACCCAGGAUCCGUGGCUGGGAGCACGUGGAGCCGAGGGAAGUUGGGUGGGGGUGGGGCUAACCUCUCUGGUGGGCAGGUGGGAGGUGGGGACACUAUGUGGCCCGGGGGAAGGGGGGGUUGCACUUGGAGUGACGUUGGACCCUGGGUGGGAACAGGGAGUGUCGGGGAGGGUCGAGGGCACAGGCAGCAAGGUGAGGCAGUCGCUCUGGUCCCCACCAGCGAUGCUGAAGGUGCAUGCUGAGGGCGUGAAGUGGGGGCCACAGGCAUCAAAGCUAUAGGUUUGCAGACAGGAUUCGAGGAGGGAGGGAGAGGGCAUCAGGAGUGACUCCCAUGCUUCUAGCGUGGGCCCCGAACCAGAAAACGGCAUUUAGAAGAUGGAGGACACGGAGUUCACGUGUCAGGAGCCGCCCUUCCGUGCCUCCAGCACCACGUGUCUGGGCCAUGUGAGCAAGGUCACAUGGGCCCGAUGUGGUGCUGGGGGCGGCAGGGCUCUGCUCUUCUCUUCUUUUGGAGUCUGGGGGCUUCGCACUCUGCCUUGGCCAGCCGGAAGCCUGGGAGUGUACUUAUUACCCGUGGGGAUGCCUGCUAACACGGGGUCCCUGAAGAGCCCCCCCCCCAACCAUCCCCGGUGUCACUGUGUGGACGAGGGUGGGGGCGGGAGGGGCCUGGGGCAGAAAGAGACUGGGAGGGUGUUUCCUAAGAACCCUCUGUGGUUGGUUACGAGGUCCCCUGGGGCUCAGGGAGACUUAACAUUGGGUAUAUAAUGGAGGGAGGCCCAGCCACAUGUGCCUGGAGGAAAUCUGGAGGAACAGGAGCAAACCAAGGGGGGCCUGCUCCCAACGUUUGAGGGGCUGUCGACGGGUCACAAUGGCUGGAAAUGGGCCAGUGGGAGAAGCUCCAGGGAGACCGACCGGUGCCCUGAUGGGUGGGUGAGUUGGGGUCAGAUGAGUUCUGUGUUCUUGCGAACACCGAGGGUAUGAGGCUGUCCACUCAGGGCUCUCAGAGUCUUUGGCUCUGAAGAGUCUGGGAUCUGACGUUCUAGGGGUCUCCAUUUCUGGGAUGCUGAGAUUCAGGACAGAGUUCCUGAUGGCCGCAGAAGCCAGGGUUAGAAGCCAGGCCCCCCCCAGUCUGGUUCUGCCUGUGCCCCACCCGCGAGGUCUGUGUAGGGGUCUCAGUGCUCCACUCUGCUCAGGGCCUAUCUUAAGUGUGGGUUUCUUUCUUUUAAUUUUUCAAAACAAGGACAAAUUUUGUCUCUUGACUUUGACCUUUGCAUGCACCCCAAGCACAAAUCCUUCCCCUGGUGACACCAGGAGCUACAGAUCUCCUUGGAUUCCCCUUGACUCCAAACUCCCUCCUCUGGAAGGUUGGCCUCUGGACUGACCUUCCAGAGGGUGGAGGACAGAGCCUGGGUCUCUGGGGCCGAUGGGCCAAGGGCCCCCUUGUUUUCUUAAUGUAAAUGGUGUGGAUGGCACGUGCCCUAGAGCAGGAGGUCACCCAUCACCCUGACAUGUCACCCAUCUUUCACCUCUUCAAAUCCUUGUCUGUGGGCACACUGAUUUUUCAGUGGACAUCUAUUUUUUGUGUGUGUGAGCAUCCAUUUCUUGAACCUAAUUGCCAUUCUGCACCACAUGCACUUUUUUGCGUCUUGCCUUUUCCAUUUACUGCUCUGUUGUCAGCGUUUUUCUUUCUUCCAUAGUCAUCAUCUCACUGGCUGCGUUGUGUCCCAUUGAGUGGCUCUGCCAUCAUUUGCAACACCAACCUGCUAUUGUUAUGCAUAACUCAUCUUUUUAAUCUUAUAAAUUAUGCCACAGCUAAUGGCUUAGCACACCCACUUUUUCUCCUUCUUACAAAUUACUUUCCUGCACCCAGAAGUGAUCAUUGCUUCACGGCGUGUCAGUUUCUCCUGCUAGACUGUGAGCCCCUUAAGGGCAAGGAGCCUGUUGAAUUGAUCUUUGUAUCUCUAAUGCCCAACAUGUUGUAGAUGUUAAUAGAUGCUUGCUGGGUGAGUGGAUGGAAGGAUGGAUGAAGAUGUGAGUGGGUCAGUGGUUGGCUGAUGUGUGCGUGGAUGGAAGGAUGGAUGAAGAUGUGAGUGAGUGGGUCACUGGUUGGCUGAUGGAUGAGUGGAUGGAAGGCUGGAAGGAUGGAUGAAUAAAUGGAUUGGUGAAUGAAGGAAUGCAUUAGGGUUGAGCUUCUUGAGUGAAAGGCCAGUGAUUCCUGUAUGAAUAUUGACUAAUUUCAGAAGGCUUUCAGCAUUUUACAAUGUCCAGCAAUGUAUUAGCAUUUUGUUAAGAUAUGGCUAGUUUAUCUCUGUUAAAAAAGUAUUUUUGUGUCAUUUUAACUUGCAUUGCUUUGAUUACUAAUGAAGGUUGAAAUUUCUCACAUAUGUUUGUUAACAAAUUGUAUUCUAUUUUCUGUGAACUGUUUGUCCAAGUCCAUCGGGUCAUGGCUUUCUGAUGAGAGUGGUCAAGGAUGGAAUGGGUUUCCUUGGGAUGUAGUGAGCCCUCCGUCAUUGGAGGCAUUCAAAGAGCAGGCCAGGCAGACACUUGAUGAGGGUAGUUUUAAGGAGAUUCAAAUAGUGGGUGUGGCAUUGGCUCAGACAGCCUUGCUUCUCCCUGGGAAGUGGGUUGGUGGGGAUGACAUCUUCCAUUUGGCAUACCAGUGACAUUUUAAGGUCCCAUCCCUUGGCGGGGCUUGUGUAUUGAUGAUUUAUAAACUCUAACCUCACCCUCUGUAACUCUUGUGGGACAGGAAUAUCUCUUUGGCCUGCCAAGGUCUGGACAGCCGUGCCCAGCGUCUUUUAUAGUUAGCUAGUGGACUUCCCACCAGCCCUGUCACUCCCCACCCCCCCCCGACCCCCGCAUUGCACCUUGAGGAAGCCAGAACCAUGCGCCACCAUUUAUCACCUGUUAGGGCAACCAGGUGAGGCGAUCUGCUGCCCUUUGUGUUCCCGGUAUCCUGUGAUGUGUGAGCAAAUGUCCCCGAGGCCUCCGUGGUGGUCUUUGGGGUCUCAUUGAUUAAUGGGACAUGUUGGAUCAGGACUGAUGCAGAAUCCUCCUUCGGUUUUUUUCAGCUGGGCCAAUUAAAUUCUGCGAUCCCAGGAGCAGAAUGCACCCCAUGCUGUUCUCAGACUUCCCCUCAUGCCCCACUCCAAAGCUGGCAGGGCACGAGGGUCAUCAUGGCCAUUUGGGAGGGUGCAUUACCCAUGGAGGACUAGCCCCUGCUUUCUAGAACACCCUCCUCUCUCAGCAGAGGGCUGCUGCUUGCCGCUGACCCCUCUACUAUAGCACUGAGUGCUGUUUGCCUGCAUCAGAGUUACUCACCCACGUGUUGACCCCAGCAUCGAAGCUUGGGAGGCCAGCAAUGAUGUCCAGCAUUAAUUUAAGCCAUCCAUCCAUCCUUGCCUUUGGCCUCCAUUUCUUGACCUGGUGCGUUUGGCCUCUCCUUUUCCUGAAAGCAAACCCUUCCAUCUUGGGCGGGCUGUGUAGCGCCAUGGGCUGUGGUCAUGAGGCGAACGCCCUUAUUUGUAGCUUUCUCCUCCGGGGUCACUGCUCUGAGCACGUCCCAGCUGGAUCUCAUCUGCCACCGUCACCCACAUAGCUUCCUCCCCAUGGCGCUUUCCCAUGCAUCACGCACCCCAACGGAUCCAGGCCAGGGUCCGAGAGCAACCCCCCCACCCGUGAGCGGAGAUGUCCCCCCAGGCCACCCUGCCUGGUGCAUGGUCCCUGCCAUGAGCUUUGCCUUCGGCCUGUCCGCUUCCUCCACCAGAUGGCAGUGGUUGUAACUCAUCCGUUCACCCCUUCAUCCCUUCAUUCGUUCACUCACAGUCAACAUUUCUCGAAAUCAACUAGUGCUAUCCUAGAGCUGGCUCACAAGGACUCGUUCCGACAUCUCCUUUUCAAAGAAAAGAUGAGCAUGUUUGCAAGCGGCCAUGUUUGUGUGUCAGGAACAAGGCAAGACCCUUGAUUCAACUGCAACUUCUAGAUGCGAAUUCUGUUCCAAGUUUGAUUGCCCUCUCUCACUUUGUUCCUUAGAAAACUAGGUUGAUUAGUAAUCAGCAAACUGUGUUCCUGGGUGCUCAGAAAUCAUAGCCCAUAUCCUCAAGAGGCCAGAAUGAGAGCUGGGAGGUAUGAGAUGACAGCGGAUUCUGGCCGAGAGCAGGCUUUCAAGUCGUUAGAACGCCCUGAUCUUGCUUGGAGGCGGUCUUAGAGCCAUUCCUGUCCCUUUCGAGAUUAGUUAAUGCUGGGCUCUACUUAGAGAAAAUUGGGGGAGAUGAUUGCCCUUGUGGAUGACAAAGAUCAUGCCUGGUGUGGGGGUCUGCACAGAAUAAUCCACUGACAGACCGUGGUGUUCGAGGCGCAUGGCACUUUGUAACCUCUGGAGGCAGCCCUGAGCAUCCAUGUGGGUCCCGGGCCAGGCAGGGCCCUCGUUUAGCUCACUGCUGCCUGCGUGGGACAGGGCGUAGUCUUGGGGGCUCCACAUUUUAUUCAUCACACUGGAGAGUGAGUGUGGUGGAUAAAGUCAGGACCCUGGAGUUGGACAAACGUGUGUGGUUUGAACUUGCGGCGACAGCUUGAGUCUGUCUUGUGGGGGGACCAUAGCACCCACCUCGCAGGGCUGUUGUGAGGAUCAUGUAACCAGGAUUUUGAACUGUGAUGUUGGAAAGGCGGGCGCGUGCCCCUGGGGGAGUGCUGGGGGCAGGAUGAAAGGCCAGGAGGGGCAGCCUGAUUUGGGCAGGUUGGUGGGAAAUCAUUUUGCCAAACGUGCAGGGGGAUCUUGGGGGACAGAAUGCUAAAUUUGUAUGACAGUGUAAGGUUAGAGAGGAGUAAUUUUGGCAUGAACCUUCAUGCUGGGGCAUGAGUUCUCUUUGGGCAGCGCCCCUGGACCCCCUGGGGUACGCGUUCAUGAUCACCUUUGUGAAAGGUUGGAGGCACCUGGGUCUGGCCUGUAGGCAGCACUUAGGCACGUCCCUCCACAAGAGAUACCCCCUAGCAGUGUCUUCCCCCCAAAUCUUAGGCACCAGUCAUCAAAGGCACUGCACAGCCCCUCCCCAACUAACAACAUCGGGGCUCUGAUGCCUGCAGCCUGGGUGCCUGACACAGUCCCAGGCCAGUGGCAGGGCUUGCCUUCCACUUUUGUUGAAUGGAUAGACUUGUGGAUGGUCAAAUAAUGAAACUGUAACCAAAUGCGGCGGUGGAUGUUUAUGAUCUUUACUAAGAGAUUGUAUUUUGCUCCUGAUGAACCUGUUAUCAAUCGUUGUAUUGUAUCUUAUGGACUUUUGUAUGACGUUUGUUGUUUGAAAACCAGGAUUCUUGUUUUGGGUGUCAUGCGGUGCAACUUGAGCUGUCUGAUUAACGAGUCAGUUUUUUGUGUUAGAAAUUAGAAUCCGGCAGACCCUGGGGCCACUUGACUAACUGUGCGGUGUUGGGCAAGUCACUUCUCCUCUCUGACCCUCAGUCUUUUUUUCUCUAAGCUGAAGGUCACCAGAAAGCUCACCUCACAGGGUUGUUGUGAGGGUGACGGGCUGGGUAAACUUUAAAUUGCUAAUGAAAUGCUGGCUCUUAUUGAGAAUGGUCAGAUGUCAGGGGUUGUCUCUAAGAGAAUAAAAAGUCAGCAUGUAAUCUUAUGCUAAGAUUGUAUUUCCAACGGUCACUGGACCGUGUAAGACAGACGCUGAGUGGUCUACAGUGUUUAGCGAUGCGGGCCCAGGGUGAACGCUGGUUUGACUAAUGAGUGAUGGCUCUUUCUCCUGGGAGCCUUCCCUCCCCUCCCUGGGCUGCUGGCUCACAUGUGCAGUUUGAAGCGGCUGGGGUGACUGCCUUGGGUUUGCCGUACCUGUUGGUGCCCUGUCUGCUUGGAGGCGUUUCUGCAAACGUCUGUAGAGGCCCGGGUGUGGUUUGUCGGGGCGGAAGGCGGGGCCGUUGAGAGAGCCUGAGGAGGGGCUUCUGGGUAACACCCCAGGGACUAAAACUCUUUCUUCUGCCCUGUAGGAGGGAGGCCUGCGCCCCUAGUUUCCUCUCACCCCUCUUCCUUCUUUCCCUGGCUGUGGCUGAAGGAAUAGCCUUCUGCCCCGCCCGUGGGCCUGGAACCCAGUGCGAGGCUGAUGACACUCUCCCCCUGGGCUCCCUGCUCCGUGGCGUGGGAGCCCGCGUUAGAGACCUGCAGGCUGAGAAUCAGGGACAGCGGGGGUCAGAGCGGGUGUCAGAGCGGGGACUCAACGGUCUUGCAUGGAAAGCCGGUGUUGUUUCGACCCCACCCAACAAGCCCUCCCAGUUGCUGUUGCCAUCCGUCCCAGGCUGUCCCCGUCCCCACCGUGAGCCUGACAGUGUCAGGAGGGGUCGCACUCCUCCAGAGCUCAGCAGGGUCCGAGGUGAAUGUCGGAAUGUGGCCGCCUUCCGUAAGGUAUUGCCCUGGCUCUGGCAGAAGUCUCGGGAGACAUCCCACAGGGUCAGGUGGAUCGGGGUCUCUUCCCGAGACCCCUGAAGUCCUUUCCUGGCCCUUGUCUUGUGGGUGGGGGAGCAGCAUUCUACCCUAACGUCCCCUCCUUAUGUCUGAGGUGGGGUUGAGCUGGGCAUCUGCUCUGCCCCCUCCUUCCCUCCCUGGCCUCCUCGUUUUGCCUCUGGCUUUCACAGCCUCUGUGGGCAGGCGCUGGGCAUCUCUGUGGCCCACACUCCUGUCUGCCUGCAUCCUGAGUGUCACUGUGAUGAGCGGCCCUCACCCCUUUGCGCCGGCCCUGCCUGCCCCUGGAGCACCAGCACAGCCUCCCUGUUGCUCCCUCCCUUGGGCUUUGCUGAGGAGGCCUUUCGCUGUCCCCUUUGGUAUCUACACUGUGGCCAUCCCAUGUCCUGGGAACUUGUCUGAAGCAGAGGGGGCCUCACUUCGGUGCUCCCGAGGGGCCCCACUGGAGGACAGGUAGUAGGGCCCUCCUCCCAGGGGACGGUGAGUCCAUGUUCAGGUGUCUGCUCCCCGAAGGCCCUGGGCUCCUUGAAGGCCGAGCCUGUGUGUGGCCCGCAGAUGACGGACUCUUUCAGGUGCCCAGUCUUUUCACGUCGGUGUCCCCUUGACAUGGGCAGGGCUGGGUCCCCAUCUCCUGAGGGCGGGUGAGAAAGUGGAGGCUCGGUGAGGUCACGGCUAGGCUGCCCUUGAACCCCAUCGCUACUCUGAGCCCUGUGCCCCUCGGACCUUUUACAGCCCUGCUUCCUGCACAGUAGGCGCCUAAUAGAUGCUCACUGACAGAUGAGGGUGCGUUUUUAGUGGGUGUGCAGAGGUGGAUUGACGGUUGGCUGAGGUAUGCGUGGAGUCCACACAUGUUUCUUUGAGAGGAAAGGUGUGUUUUUCCCAGCAAAGCCUCCUCAGGCCAGUCCUGAGGGCCUCUGCCCAUAGCAGGGCCUCAGCCCAGGGCCGGGGCCGGAGGGCAGCCCCAAGAGGGCCCCUCCUGGCAGAAACAUGGGUCUUCUGCACGUUUUUGGAAAUAUGUAUAUCUGAAUAAAACUUCGCUUGGGCUAAAAUGUUUGUGUUGUGGCCCAAGAGAUUCUGAUAAUGUGGCAUUUGACAUUUCCCAAGGUGGCAUUUGACAUUUCCCAAGUCGGAGGGCCAUCUGGUCACACCCACGCCCUCUCUGAGGCCGGCUGGGGCCUCAGGAGCCCUUGUCCUGGGGAGGGGAGGUCUCCUACCUGAAAAGUCUUUGUCCCCACCGUUCGUGACAAUCAGCACUGAAUGUGAGGCACAGGCCGAGUCUCAGAUGCAGCCAUGGGCACCCAGCAAACUAGGGGAGAUCGGACCCCAGACCUGGGUCCUUUUCAUCCCUUCUUGCCCCCCCCCCCAAAGAACAGUGCGUGGGUGCACGUUGGGGUGGGGCUCUGGAUGUCUCGCCCAUUUGACUUCAGGUCCUGGUGUCACCAUUUGCCAGCCUAGUGGCCUCAGGCAGGUUCCUUGAACCAGCUGAGCCUCGGUAUUCCCGCCUGUAGAAUGGGUGCUGACUGACAGAGUCCACUCAGGGGAUGGUGGUGAGUGCUGACCAUGCCAGCGGCGGCGUGCCUCACGACACCCCAUAGGCUGGCUCCCGAGAAUCAAGGUCUGCGUUCGAGGCCACCCUGCUGCCUCCGUGUGCGUGACCUGGGCGAGUUUGCUCACCUGCAACCUGGAAAUAGUCACAUCUACCUGGCCCAGUUAUAGUGGGAGAUUGUUUCUGUGAGGAUGAGUGCUUUGUUACCUGGUACACAGGUGCCCUUGUCCCUUGCCCUCCCGGCGGGCCCUGGGGCUGGCCACGUGCCCUGCAGCCUGUGGGCGCUGGUCACAGAAGCCCUGUGCUCCCUGGAACUGUGGUGGCCCAAGUGGCUGUUGGGUGGGGUGGAGGGCGUCAGGGGAGCACCCGGGACCAGCUGCGGGGAGACAGCGAGGGAGGGUUUGCUUGUAAAUGCAGACAUUUAACGGGCUUGGAGGGGAGGGGGUUGAGGCCGAAGUGGGGGGACUAGGGGGGAAUUUUAGGAACCCCCAGAGGAGGAGGAGGCUGAUAUUUUAGAAAACACCUGAGUUGACUUGGUUGUGGGUUUGGCAGGCGAGCUGGGGUGCUUUGCACAAGGGCCAGGAGUUUGGGAUUCUGGGUUAGCGAGGUGAGACCCUUCAGAGGUUACUGCUGCAGGAGGGUGUCAGGACUAGGGUUAUGCUUCCAGAAGUCUCUGCAGGUCGGGGAGACCAGGGCAGGGCUGAGGGUGGGACACCAGAGGUUGAGGGGUGCUAGGCGGAUGGGCAGGAGCUGGUGGCUGGGUGCUCCCCUCGCCCCAUGGCUGCUGGGGAGCCGGGGACUUCUCCCCGCAUUGCCCAGCCUCUCGAGUGCCCCGUCUCCUCAGCGGAUGGGCUCUCUCCUCUCCUUGCCCCCGGCCUGCCUGUCUGCAUGAGGACUCUUGUCAGCCAGUGCGACCAGGAGCAGGGGGCCUUCAUGUGCACCUGUGUCUCUCUCAGCCUCCACAGCCACGGGGACGCCCCGCACACGUUCCUGCGGGACAGGCUGGACCCAAAGACUCUGGACCCGGGCCGCCCCCUGCGAGGAGGGGCACACCCUCCCCGCCUCCCCUCCGGUAGCCACCCGUCUUCUGACUGAUGACUUCACUGAUCUGAGGGUCAGACACACGAGUUUGACCCCUGCCUGCCCCUCACGAGCCCUGAGACUUGGGGGAGCCACCGAGCCUUCGUUGUCCGCAUCUGUGAAGUCUCCUCGGACACCUACCUCACAGGGUUGUUGUGAGGAGCAUGUGAUGUGGUUCAGAAGGGCCCAACCUGGGGCCUGGCACACCCGAUUGUGCUCUCAAUAAAUGUGUUUCUUGCCUUAACCAACA
rnacentral:lncRNA from 1 species